CUCUGCCGAUUCAACAACAAUUCCCCUUCCCCAUCUUUCUUGUUUAAGCUCUUCGUUACGCUAAACACUAGCCAGUAGAUUUAGAUACAUAUAUGGGUUGCUCUGCAUCAGUUCCUGGUAAGUUUUAACGUUUUACGGUUUAUUUAUUUGUUGUAAUUGCUAAAAGCCCCUUUUAACUUGAAUUAGCUUUGACCUAAGUUUUCCCCUGAUAUUGUGGAUUGAUCUUAAUUGAGGUUGCUUUUGAUCUAAUAAGAUUCGACUUGUGGACCCUUUUGGAAUUGUUGUUAAUUUGAAUAAGGGUUUGGUUUAUCUUUAGGUUUCUGUUCAAUUUUCUAUGUGCAGAUAGAAAUGUAGGACGGAUAGGCGGACUUAAUCCGGAGAAUGGAGGGGCAAAUGAUGCUAAGAACCUGCGAGUGAAGGUACCUUUCUGCACUGUUUUACUCGUAUUAUUGUGCUGAAGCUUACAGAAAACGUAGGUAAUCGUUAAAUUGUGUGUAUGAUAAAUUGUUUGAUUGCUUUGUGCUUGUCUGUUUUAGAAAUUUUCGUGCGGACAUUAUGAGUUACAGUUACACGCUGCAUUACUUUAGCUUUGCAAAUUUUCAUUCUCUUCUCGCUUUUCCUGUAACUCUUAUAUUUUUGUAUUAAAUUUUGUUGGUACAAGCAUCCUGUAUUUCCUCUUUGGUCAACCACUUAUGAAUUACUUCAGAAUGUGCGCAUAAUUCUUAGCACAUUAAGCAUUAGCUUGAAAGUCCAUAUUAUUACAUAGUCUUAUAAUCGUGAGUAUUUUAUUCUCCAGUCCAUUUGAAUUUCACGUUUUGAAUUUCUGGACUUUCUAUUUCUACGGAGAAUAUAUCUGAGCUUUUUUAUACCUACCAUGUGAUUUUUUUGGAUAUUUGGUAUUUACAUUCUGUACCGUUAGAAUGUUGACAAAUAUUCACAUUUAUUACUCGAAUUGGUCCUCAAAGGAAGGAGAGAUGGUCUAUUUGGCGUAAAACCGGAUUCCUGGUGCUUAUAGUUAUUUGUGAUUUAACAUUGGAGGCAGAACAUAGAUGGGUUUUCAUUUUUUCUUUCUUAAAUCUUCCCUCAUAGGCCAGAUGUGAAUAAUAUGUUUUCCUAUGUCCUAUAUCCUGGGUUUAUUGCCU
rnacentral:lncRNA from 1 species